rnacentral:lncRNA from 10 species
UCCUGAAGCAAGCCAAUAUGGAGCAACCAACCAGCCAAACAAAAAUAUCCUCAGACCUGGAGGAGGAACAAACUCCAGGCCAAAACCGUUUCUUUGUUGACACAAAUUAAGGGGUAAAGCCAAUUCCUUACUGAAAAAGAAUUGAAAUUUAUAAUAGAACUCAUCUUAUAUCUUUAAUCAUUUAUCAUAUAUGAUAUAAAACCUGUAAAUAAGCAUUAUUCUAGAGUGGUUUCAGUCAUUUUCAAAUUAUUUGUUUGUAUAAGAUCUGGAGUUAAUAAACCCCUGCAGGUAUUUAUUCAACCAGAGAAGCUGCCUGUGGAGCUGACUGGCCUCUCCCAGUCAAGGCCCCGGAGAAGAAUGGAAAAACCAGUUCAGCUUAUUUCCUACUGGGAGUGAGACAAGUGGCGCAGUCAUGGGAGAAAGGUCACCUAAAGAGAAAUUAACUGAACAGUCAGGGCAUAAAUCAAAGGGGAAAGAGUCACUUUUAUACAUCCGUCUCCAUGAUUUUCAUGUCCAAUUUAUCAACAAGUUCUCAAUUGUUCCACCAAGAGUACUUGAAUCCGUCACUCCUUUUUUUUUUUUUUUUUAAAGACAGCAUCUCACUCUGUGGCCCAGGCUGGAGUGUGGUGGCACUAUCACAGUUCAUUACAGCCUCAACGUCUCGGACUCAGAUGAUCCUGCCACCUCAAUCUCCCAAGUAGUUGGGACCACAGAAGUGAUUCAGCACUCAGGAUUAUUGCCCACACCCCUACGAUUGCACCCCCAAGCAAUCACCAGCAAGCACCCAAUGCCUAGCCAUCCCCACCCCUUCCCCCAAACUACCUUUGAAAAACCCCUAACCUACCAGCCUUCAAUGAGAUUGAUUUGAGUAAUAACUCCAUCUCCAGUGUGGAGUGGCCAGCCUCACAUCAAUUAAACUCUUUCUUUACUGCAAUGCUAUGGUCUUUGUUUGUGCAGCAGGCAGGAAGAACUCCUCAGGCAGUUACACUUCGAGCCUUAAGACACCUUGAUGUCAGACUUCCAGUGCCCUGAAUUGUGACAGAAUAAAUUUCUGUUGUUUUAAAACUCCCAAGUUUGUGACAGUUUGUUAUGGCAGUUCUAGGAAACUAAAAUAAAUGGUGAUUUUUGACGCCCCUUAAAUCACCUCACUUAUGGGAGUGUCCACUUCAUCUACUCCAGGCUCACCCCCUCUUUUCCCAAAGAGAAGAAAUAUUUUGUGUACGAGAAUAUUUCUUCCUGAUCUUCACUUUGCAGCAUAUGGACUGCAACAAGAGCGUGAGAAAAGCAAUGCCAAGUCAAUAAGGAUUGCUUGUCCAGUGCACAAAACACCCUGCUUAGCAUAAGAGUAACAGAAGCAUUUCUUUGUCACUAGUUAGCUGUGUGACCUUAAGGGAGUGACUUAACCCUUUGAAACUUCCACUUUCUCAAAACAAAUUAGUUGCACAAUACAUAUUUAAGGUCCUUAAUGUCAUAGAAUUACUUAGCAAAUUAUAGUAUUAGGAGCAAAGAAAAGACAAUAGGGGAAAACAUGAAGAAGCCUUGGAAACUUGAGUACAUCCUCCCUAAAGGAAAAUAACUCCCACAAAUGCUUAAAACGCACCCAUUACAUAGGGCUUUAAUCAUAGGAUAAUUUUGUGCCUGCAACUGCCUAAUUUUUAGUACCAUAGUAAAUAGGUCCUGACAACAGAUUGUUCUUUUAAAUGCAAAUGUUCCCACUAUCUUGACACAUUAUAAUUGUUCUUAGGGCUAUUGACAUCAACAACAUCAGUAUCUCAGGAAAAAUGUGCUGUAUGUAUUUCACUACCUGUCUCGGCUAACCCAUAUGAACAUAUAGCCCUUUUUCUUCAGCAAUCCUCUCUGCAAAUCAUGAUCAUAGAGGCCUCCCCUUAGCAGGACACAGCCUCUCCUAGCCAUCCUGGGAAUUAACUCCACACAGCAGGUUGGGUCUUGCCUACUCACCUUGCAAGCACUCAAUUCAAGGUUAGAGAAAGGUGUAAUUAAAGAGAGAAUAUAAUCUUUCAAUCUUUAGGUUGCAUAUCAAGGACCAAAGUCUCCAAAGACUCUCACUAGCUGAAGCUCUUUGGCAAUGGAGGGGGAAAAUCAAGGCUAGGAAGAGUUAAUCCAGAUUCUAGGACAGGUUAACGUUUCCCUCUUGCUUAGCCCAAGACCUUUAGCCUCUUUUUACUUCUUGCAUUACCAUAUCAAUAUUCCCUUUUCACCCAAAUCCCUCCAUCUACAGCAACUGGUGAGCUGUAAGUUUUGUUUUGUUUAUAUUUGUUAGCAGCUUAACUAUUUCAUGUUCAUUUACAUAUUCCAUGCAAUGUAUCCAUUGAAGUCACUAACAUAUUACUUCCUUGUAGAUCCUUUACAUUCUUUACCAUAUUUUUUUAGUUUAAGGAAAAAUAGCCAAUAAUGUCCCUGCUUAAAUAGAACACAAAGAAGUGAGAGUAUUGAUGGUUAUAAAUUGCUCCUGGUCUUCCAAUAUGGAAACCAAAAACUGGAGACUGGAAAAUCACAUGAAGGAAGACUUUUAGAAAAGUGAUUCAACUGUUAUUAUGAAUUCCUUGAAAAUUUUAACCAAUAGGUUAAAGUUAAAACAGGUUAAUAUAAAAGAAAAACAUAAAUGAUUUAAUGACAUAGUGAGUAGAAAAGUGACACAUACUUCAAAGGGAGAAUGGGGAUACCAGUACAGGGAGUUUGGGAAGAGAAAGUAUGAACUAUAGAAAGGGGAGGAGAAACUGAUACAGAAGGCAUGAGCUCGUGUGUUGCUCUUCAGGUGUUUGUCAGAUCUAGUUACUAACAAUAACAACCAUGCACAAAUGUCCUAUGUGAGAGCAGUAAAAGCUCCUCUGGUAGGCUAGGCCACCUACCAGCUCUGUCCUGCCUCUCAAGGUGAAAGUCAGAACCAUCAUAUUCCCUGUGCAACCCAAGGCCUAACAAAUCCCAGAACAGUAGCCCUCGUUACACUAAGAUUCCCGCGGUUCUCAGGUCGAGAUGCCAAAGUAGGCCAUUUAGCAGCCAGCUGUUCCUGGUGACUAACUUAUCAGUGCUCUGAGGAUUAUUUUUGAAGAUAUAAAUGAAUGUUAGUCUUUGAGCCCCAGAAACACAGCUCACUAAAUAUGAAUCAUUGUGCUAAUCCAGUGCAGGACUCUGUAGGUGUGGGCUGUGUUGUUUGUCCUGGGCUCAAGGAAGAAAGCAAUGAUAUAUUUAAAGCAGGGUGUUUUCAGAGAGAGCAUUAACACAGUGAAUUAUAUGGAGAAUGCAAAUGAAAGAACAGUGAAAGUGACCUUGAGUCCUGUGGCUCAAACUAGUUCCCUGUUAGCUAAUAGCCAAACUGAUCGAGAACAUCAGGAGAGGAAGUUAUAGAUGUUCUGUUUAUUAAACAGAAAACAUUAACAACUUGGUUGUACAUUGAAACACACUAAGACAUGAAAACAAGCACAGGGCAAAAGGGAAAAGUUCAGCGAAUUUUCCUGAACUUUUUUUUUCCUUUUUAGUGCUGUUUUAGCAAUGGCAUUUGAUCAAAUACAGGAAAGGAAUUUUUUGUUUUGUUUUGUUUGUUUUUUUGCAGAGCUUCUUUUGUCCCUAUGAGAUUCACAAUUUUAAUGCAAUCCACUGCAGAAACUGUUGAAAUAUAAAUCUACAGGUCAUAUCUCAAAGUAAGAUGGUAGCACAUUCCAUUGUUUGGGGGAACAGCAGAGACAUUAGAGCUCAGAGGAUGUUUCCAUUUUACAGGAUGGAAAAUGGAGGCCCAAGAAAUUCAAAUGACGUGCCCAAGGUAGUCAUGGAAAUAAGUCUAGAAUUUUGACUUCUGUCCACGCAUACAUCCUGUGCCUUAAGGUCAUGAGUUGCCACUCAUCACCGCAGUCCCUUAUAAGGCUUAGGCUGGGUAUAGAGAAAAUGGAAGAAAGCCAUUGCAAAGUUACAUCUGAAUAACUCUAAGCAUGCUACACUCAAUAAAACCCAACUUCCGAAAAACAUGGCUUACAGACCAAGUUUUUACUGUUUAUGGGACUGCAGUGUUCUGCACACAUGACUAAAAAGCUCCAAGCACUACCUUAAAUCAUCCAUAGUUGUAGGCUAAAGUCUGCCCCCAGCCCCACCCCUUCACCCAAACCUCUAAAUGUGAUCUGUGAAAUUUCUUUCUACUUUGAGAAUAGGAAAAUGAGCUGGGCUCAGUUAAGGGCCAUCACCAAGUUCCACAUGGCUCCUGAGAUGGUUUGUCUUCUGGGUAUGAGCCCCUUCCCCCUUCUCCCUCAGAUGAAGCUCUCUUAACCCACUGGACACCUGUGGGCAGCUUAGGCAAGGAGGGCAGCCUCUAGGUAGGCAGAUUCAAAGUUGAUUCAAACAUGCUCUUGUCCCUCUGGGCAUUCACACUAAGCUCUUUCACCUUUCAG